rnacentral:rRNA from 1 species
AUUGAACGCUGGCGGCAGGCCUAACACAUGCAAGUCGAAUGGUAACAGGAAACAGCUUGCUGUUUCGCUGACGAGUGGCGGACGGGUGAGUCAUGUCUGGGAAACUGCCUGAUGGAGGGGGAUAACUACUGGAAACGGUAGCUAAUACCGCAUAACGUCGCAAGACCAAAGAGGGGGACCUUCGGGCCUCUUGCCAUCAGAUGUGCCCAGAUGGGAUUAGCUAGUAGGUGGGGUAACGGCUCACCUAGGCGACGAUCCCUAGCUGGUCUGAGAGGAUGACCAGCCACACUGGAACUGAGACACGGUCCAGACUCCUACGGGAGGCAGCAGUGGGGAAUAUUGCACAAUGGGCGCAAGCCUGAUGCAGCCAUGCCGCGUGUAUGAAGAAGGCCUUCGGGUUGUAAAGUACUUUCAGCGGGGAGGAAGGGAGUAAAGUUAAUACCUUUGCUCAUUGACGGUACCCGCAGAAGAAGCACCGGCUAACUCCGUG